rnacentral:rRNA from 1 species
GACGAACGCUGGCGGCGUGCCUAAUACAUGCAAGUAGAACGCUGAAGGAGGAGCUUGCUUCUCUGGAUGAGUUGCGAACGGGUGAGUAACGCGUAGGUAACCUGCCUGGUAGCGGGGGAUAACUAUUGGAAACGAUAGCUAAUACCGCAUAAGAGUAGAUGUUGCAUGACAUUUGCUUAAAAGGUGCAAUUGCAUCACUACCAGAUGGACCUGCGUUGUAUUAGCUAGUUGGUGGGGUAACGGCUUACCAAGGCGACGAUACAUAGCCGACCUGAGAGGGUGAACGGCCACACUGGGACUGGGACACGGCCCAGACUCCUACGGGAGGCAGCAGUAGGGAAUCUUCGGCAAUGGACGGAAGUCUGACCGAGCAACGCCGCGUGAGUGAAGAAGGUUUUCGGAUCGUAAAGCUCUGUUGUAAGAGAAGAACGAGUGUGAGAGUGGAAAGUUCACACUGUGACGGUAUCUUACCAGAAAGGGACGGCUAACUACGUG